UACGUGGGGAGCAAGCGUUGUUCGGAUUUACUGGGCGUAAAGGGCGCGUAGGCGGCGCAACAAGUCACUUGUGAAAUCUCCGGGCUUAACCCGGAGCGGCCAAGUGAUACUGUCGUGCUAGAGUGCGGAAGGGGCUACUGGAAUUCUCGGUGUAGCGGUGAAAUGCGUAGAUAUCGAGAGGAACACCUGCGGCGAAGGCGGGUAGCUGGGCCGACACUGACGCUGAUGCGCGAAAGCGUGGGGAGCAAACAGG
rnacentral:rRNA from 1 species